CCUACGGGAGGCAGCAGUAGGGAAUAUUGCUCAAUGGGGGAAACCCUGAAGCAGCAACGCCGCGUGGAGGAUGAAGGUUUUCGGAUUGUAAACUCCUUUUGUUAGAGAAGAUAAUGACGGUAUCUAACGAAUACUCACCGGCUAACUCCGUUCCAGCAGCCGCGGUCAUACGGAGGGUGCAAGCGUUACUCGGAAUCACUGGGCGUAAAGAGCGCGUAGGCGGGAUAGCAAGUCAGAUGUGAAAUCCUAUGGCUUAACCAUAGAACUGCAUUUGAAACUGUUAUUCUAGAGUAUGGGAGAGGUAGGUGGAAUUCUUGGUGUAGGGGUAAAAUCCGUAGAGAUCAAGAGGAAUACUCAUUGCGAAGGCGACCUGCUAGAACAUAACUGACGCUGAUGCGCGAAAGCGUGGGGAGCAAACAGGAUUAGAUACCCCUGUAGUC
rnacentral:rRNA from 1 species